CUGUGGAUUCCCUCCUCCUCAUCUCGUCCAUGGUGCCUAGAUCCGGCGCUGCGAGGAGUUCUUGCCCACUUCCGGCCCUCGCCGCAUGUGCGGCGGCGGGUCCGAAGGGAGCGGGACUGUCGGCGGCGCCAGCGCUGGCUUAGUGGAGAUGCGACAUAGUGACACGGAUUAACAGUACACCGCCAAGCCAACUUUUGCUUCCUCCUCGGCAACAGCCUGGCAGCCACACUUGCACUGUCGCACAGGUCUGGUCGUAUGACCUUGUCUGUUGAGAUAUGGUGCAUUGUCAGGGGUGGUCCUAUCUUCAUUGUCCUUAUAGUGGUUGCCUCUACUUAGUAAUGUGGGAUUAAAAAGAGGAGAAGAAGAGAAAUAGCAGUAACCAAGGAAGUGAAGCUCCAAAGUACAAGGUAUUAUUGAAAGAGGAAGUCUGUCAAUAUUUGUGUCCCACAGGAGCAGCAACAGUCACCUUUGAUGUAUAAUUCAAUCCACACCAAUACAGAAGAUGCAAGAUCGUGCAAGUGUCAACAGAUAGUGGUAAGUGGUGAGCUUUCUUUCAGAGCCAGGCAACUUAAUCGGCCAUAUGGUUUGGGCAAUUGCUUGUUUGUUCUUCAUUAAUAUGCCGUAGCUAUAUUUGGUUAGAGAAAAGAACCGUAUUGAACUCCAAAACGUGCCAUACCAGUGGCAUAUAUGUCAACUUCUUCCUUUGAUUUAAGGAUAUAUAUCAAAGGUCCCGCAAACAUAGAUAUUUCUUAUUCUAUCAUAUUUAGCUAUAAUGUUUGCUUAUCAUAAUUGGUCAUUAAAAUGCGUAAAUAAGAGAAAUGUGGCAAUUGCAAGCUUGCCUUCCUUUAUUCCUUCUGAUCGACAUUACAACAUUUUACUUUGCUGAAACAAAGAUUAGUGACAUCGAAUACAGCUCUAGCCAUCGCUGCCCAGCCCACCACCUAAUGGUGCUAGUCAGUAUUUUUUUGAAAAGGGGAACAUAGCCACAGCCAUUGCAGAAAUUGAUGCACACAUCUGAUUUAUUGCAAAGUUUCAGAAUUCAAAGUUUACAUCUCAUGGAUCACACAAGGUGUACAUAAAAAUCAGCCAGCGGAAAAAGUCUAAAACAAGGUGUUUAUGUAUCAUGAAUUCUUCUAGAAAGCUGCCAGCCAGAAUCCAUAGGUGCCUGCUGCGCCUCCGAGAGAAGCUAGGACCACUUGUAGAUCCAAUGUUAACCAUAUGAAUAACCUGUAAAAAAUGAGCAUUUCCUUAUUAAAGACAAUAUCAUUUCUACAGUUCCAUAUGGCCCAUUCUAAAGCACAUAUACCCACACAAAUUUGAGCCUUAGUUUUUUUCUCAACCUUGUUUAACCAGUUCCCAAACAUAUCCGUGACAUUGGCAGGUGGGGGAAUAUUGAAAGUAAAAUGCGCAACUCUCCAUAUAAGGCGAGCAAAAGGGCAAGAGAAAAACAGAUGAUUGAUAGAUUCCUCAUAGUCACAAAACACACAUUUCUUACAACCAUUCCAUUUUCGCUUUGUGAGGUUAUCUUUUUUUGGAUUACUUUUCUAUAUUGGAACCACAUGAAGAUCUUAAUAUUCAGAGGAACCUUAGUUUCCAAAUAUACUUGCGCAAAAGACAAGGUAUGCACACAAAAAAUAUGGUGGUAGUCAGUAUACCCAGUACCUUUUUUCUGUGAAUUAUUGCAUUGAAGUUGCAUCAGAGCGUUCUGUUAUAGCUGCAAGUAGUCUCGGCAUCGGGGGCAUAUCAAUCUCCUGUGGACCCUCAAGAACCCGGACCACUUCAAGCAUCGUCGGCCGAUCAAACUCAUUAUCUUGGAUGCACCAACAUGCAACUUUGCAAGCCCUUUCAGCCUGUUCCAAAUUGAGGUCUCCAUGUAAUUGUGGAUCCGCCAAACUCAGCACAUCUCCCUCGUGAAGCUUGGUGAUGGCUAACACUGGGAAAUAUUCCAUAUGAUAAUUGCUGCUACUGUAUGAUUCACGGGAGUUCCUUCUUCCUGAUAUGAUUUCCAACAGUACCAGGCCAAAGCUGUAAACAUCAAUUUUUGGAGUAAUAGCAACUCCGCUAAGCCACUCUGGGGCAAGAUAACCUGCAGUUCCUCUGAAUGUUGUUAGGACACGGCUAAAAUCCCUUCCCACAAAUGCUGCCAACCCAAAGUCUGCAACUUUAGGAACAAAUGAUGCAUCGAGAAGUAUGUUUUCUGGCUUAAUAUCACAAUGUAUGAUACAUUUGUGGCAACUCUGAUGCAGGUAGGACAAUCCUCUAGCAACUCCUAGGGCUAUUUGAUACCUGGUGUUCCAAUUCAGGACAGCAGCAUUGCUCUCGAAUAGAUGAGCAUCCAGAGAUCCAUUUAACAUGUUUUCAUACACAAGCAGCCUUUUAUCACCUUCGCAGCAGAAACCAAUCAAUUUGACUAGGUUGAUAUGUUGGAUGAGUCCAAUAGAGCUCACCUCCGCCCUGAACUGCUUCUCUCCCUGACGGGCACCAUCAAGCCUUUUCACUGCUAUAGUAGUCGAGUCACUUAACACUCCCUUGUAUACAGAACCAAAACCACCUGCUCCCAGCUUUUCUGAGAAGUUUUUAGUAGCUUGAACUAAAUCAGCAUAUCUAAAGGCUAUAACCCCACCACUUCCUUGAUUGUCAUAUGAUGGCGAACCACAGCACUUGAAUUUGUUCCUCCAAAUCACUAUCAACAGCAUGAGCGUUAUUAUUAUUCCUAAACUAAUAGCGCUUGCAGCAAUAACAAAUCCAUUGUUUGGUUUUCUUCUGUUUCUUCUUAGAUUUGGCAAAUCUUUGGCGGCAAGGCGAAGGUAAAGAGCAUCUUCAGAAGUAAUGCCAACGCCAUCAUUCAGAUUUACACUAAAUAAUUCCCCAUGCCAGACAGAGCAUCUGCUGUUGUUGUAGGAAUAAGCAGUGCAGAUGCAGGAGUUGAGACAAGCUUCUUCGCAUUUGCUCUGAGUGGUGGCAGCGUCUAUGCUUUGCCGGCUGAUGGGCAAUUGAACCUUAGCAAUGGGGUGGAACAUGUCUGUUGAACUUCUGGUGUUUCCUUUACCAGUGCAAUAUAAGGGAGUAUCUCUGAUGCAUCCUCCUGUUCGAUCAUCAAACUCCCAAUCAUGUGGCGAUUUCUGAGAAAAGCUCUCCAUACAGGAACAGGAUGGACUUGCUUUAUUGUUGCAGACUGUGAAAGGUCCGCAGGUAGCAGGCGGACUGCAGGGAUCAACAGGUUGAGUAUGUAAGUUUUGCCAGGACUGUUUGGUUUCCGACCAAAUAUUCAGCUUGAUCUGACCAGAGAUGUCUAGUGAUAUUAAUACGGAAUAUGUAUCAUCCGGUAAAGUGUACAUGUAGUACUCUUCUACAUUGUUAUCAACAUAUGUUAGGUUAAACAAACCUUUGGUCCGUGGAUCAGUUUCCAAAAUUGCCUCGAGUAUUGGUAUAAGCUUGGAUGUUGAUGUUCCAGAUGCCCAAGACCAGUACACGAUGGACGGGUUGCUGCGCUGGAGGACCAUCCCACCAGUGUCUAGUCCCAUGCUGUAUGAGCCGAGGCCCGGAUUGAUUAGGCUCUUCUUUGAGAUGAGCUGACGAUUCAGACCGGUGACCUUGUUCCGGCCAAACUUGGAGCCAGAGAGGGCAACAUCUGCUGGGUAAUCGAAGCUCUGCCACAACGGUACCUUCGAUGAUGGGCUUUCUACGAAGAGGGCAAGGUUCCCACUGUUCAAGAGAACGACACUAUUGGUGUUUAUGCUGUUUUGUGUCCUAUUGGCAAUGUGAGUGGACCAGAUUAAGGAUUCGGUACCGGCAUGGGUUACGAUGGCAAGAUUACCAUUGCUUGAGAUUUUGAGCUGUGUUAGGUUGAGCUUGGAGUCAGUAAUUGGCUCGUCUCUGUUAGCAACCCACACAGUAGUGAAAACUGGGAUCUUGUUGAACCAUAUGCCAAGGUACCAGUUGGAGUUGGGGGAGAUGGUGUUGUCGGACUUACUGGUGAUGCUUGCAGCUGGCUGGAAGAAGCCGAGCGCAAACUUGCCGUUUCUUGAGACGAGCUUGUCGCCCACAGCGAGCGCUUGGCCUGCUGUGAGCGUAUCAUUUGCAGUUGCAGAGAAACAUGAAGGUGUGUGCAAGGAAGAAAAGAGGAGAAGCCCAAGUAGGAUGUAGAGGGGAGGCAUGGUGAAGAGUGUGAAUGAAUUGGAGAUGACUGACGCUGGAAGGAAGAAAUGUAUGUAUAGAAUGGAACAGAUCCAUCAAAAAAGAAGAAGACGAAGAAGAAUGGAACAGAUCAGGGAAGACGUGCAGGAACGCAUGAUAUUCAAUGGACCGACGAUCAGUACUAGUUGACUUGGGACCAAUUGAACUCACAUAAUUGGGCAUCCCGUACCCACUUGGGGUGCCACUUGAGCUUAGGUGGUUGUACACCACCAGUUGAGCUAGUUGUCUGCACACCCAUGUGCUAUAUAGCUCAGUACAAGGAAGGUGGUUUUCAAGCUCUCCAAGAAGCUUCAACUUGGGCUGUCACUUGAAUUACUAUGUAGGAGGGCGCGGCUUGCCAACCCAUCAGAAUAUGCAAAUAACUGGUGAGCUUUCUUUCAGAAUGAGGCAACUUAAUCGGCCAUAUGAUUCGGGUAAUUACUACUUUGUUCUUAAUCCAUAUGCUGCAGGGACAUAACCAUAUUGAACUCCAAAAAGCAUGCAAUAGUAGUGGUAUAUGUGUCAACUUCUUCCUUCGAUUUAAGGAUAUAUAUAUGGUCCCAUCACACACAGGUAUUUCUAGUUCUCUCAUAUUUAGCUGUAUU